UCCCUGGUGGCUCAGAGGUUAAAGCAUCUGCCUGCAAUGCGGGAGAUGCAGGUUCAAUCCCUGGGUUGGGAA
rnacentral:tRNA from 1 species